AACGCACAUUGCGCUUCCUGGUAUUCCGGGGAGCAUGCCCGUUUCAGAAUCAUUUAAAAUAUCUUGAUAUGUAGUGCUUAGCAUAAUUUUUAUUUAUGCAAGGCAUGUCGUAUUAAGGAUGUUGAGUGUUAUUUUGCCAGCCUUAGGCUGUCAAUGACUCGUAAAUGAUUGUAUGUGACGCUGCAAUAGUAUUUUGUGUGCAGAUUAAGUGCAACAGAGUAUAUCUAUUCACUUAGACCGCGUGCAAAUUUGCUAGGGCCGAAGCAUAUUUCCAAACAUACCAGUAAUUAUGCUGUGGUAUAUUUGCUGAUAACUUGGUCUGAAAUCGGGCAAGAAAACCCGCUGAACUUAA
rnacentral:misc_RNA from 1 species